rnacentral:lncRNA from 1 species
GCUCAGAAGAUUUGUUCAUUUAUCGAGCUUUUUAUAUUCAUCUUUCUUUAAGAUUGAGUUGGCUAUCCUUCUUUUUGAGUCGGCUAAGUUUCAAAUUUGGUCGGCUAUCUCAUUCAAAUGGUUGGCUCAGAGAAUCUUUAACUCUAUAUCUUCAUCUUAAGUCUAAGAUUGGAUCAGCUAUCUAAAAGUUUAAGUCAGCUAUGAUCUGUCUUGAUCGAUUAAGAUAAAAAUUUGGUCAGCUAAGGGACUUAUUCUGAUUUUUCAUGGUUUCUAUUUUUUUUUUGGAUGGAUAUUGGAUCGGCUAAGCUUCAUGUUGAGUCGACUCAACUCUAUGCCAAGCA